rnacentral:rRNA from 1 species
CCUACGGGAGGCAGCAGUGAGGAAUAUUGGACAAUGGGCGCAAGCCUGAUCCAGCCAUGCCGCGUGCAGGAUGACGGUCCUAUGGAUUGUAAACUGCUUUUAUACAGGAAGAAACACCUCUACGAGUAGAGACUUGACGGUACUGUAAGAAUAAGGAUCGGCUAACUCCGUGCCAGCAGCCGCGGUAAUACGGAGGAUCCAAGCGUUAUCCGGAAUCAUUGGGUUUAAAGGGUCCGUAGGCGGUUUAGUAAGUCAGUGGUGAAAGCCCAUCGCUCAACGGUGGAACGGCCAUUGAUACUGCUAGACUUGAAUUAUUAGGAAGUAACUAGAAUAUGUAGUGUAGCGGUGAAAUGCUUAGAGAUUACAUGGAAUACCAAUUGCGAAGGCAGGUUACUACUAAUUGAUUGACGCUGAUGGACGAAAGCGUGGGUAGCGAACAGGAUUAGAUACCCUGGUAGUCCACGCCGUAAACGAUGGAUACUAGCUGUUGGAGNAUNUCNGUGNGAGAGAAGUAGAGUAGUAGUACCGACCGUCGGUAGGUACGUUAACGACGUAAGUUAGUUAAACGUUAAAGUUAGUUAGUUAGUACGGACGUUGAGACGUUGCGACGGACGACGACGAGGGAGGAGG